rnacentral:rRNA from 1 species
GACGAACCGAGCGAACGUUGUUCGGAAUCACUGGGCUUAAAGGGCGCGUAGGCGGGCUGCCAAGUUUGGGGUGAAAUCCUCCGGCUCAACCGGGGAAGGGCCUCGAAUACUGGCGGUCUGGAGGGAGGUAGGGGCGUGCGGAACUGUGGGUGGAGCGGUGAAAUGCGUUGAUAUCCACAGGAACUCCGGUGGCGAAGGCGGCACGCUGGACCUUUUCUGACGCUGAGGCGCGAAAGCCAGGGGAGCGAACGGG